GGGGAAGGAGAAAAUGAGCACAAGUAAGAAAUAAAUUAAUACUGCUGUACCCCUGGCACUAAUACAACGUUGCUUUCCUGGCCACCAGAUCCUGCUUUUCCCGAGGAUGGCAAGCUGGGAGUGCACGGGAAUUAACAACCACACGCCAGCCCUCGACCCAUGGCUGAUGAUGAGGUCCAGGUAAAAACACCCAGCUCCCUUAGCCUGGGAGCAGGGACAGCUCUGAGGCAUCUGCUCCCUGGCAUCUCCUCCAGUUCCCCAAGAUCCAGCCCCAACUCUCCACGGGGGCACCUGGAUCGGUGAGGCAUCUUCCCUAAACGCAUCCCCACUGCCCUGCUGGGGGUCCCUCCUGAACAAACCACUUGCACUCAAACCUGUGUCUCAGAAUCAGUAUGCCUACGAGGGGACCCAAACUAAGAUACAGACACUGGUAACUGUGGUAGACAGAGUAAUGUCCCCGCCCCCUCCCUGUGGUGGUGUCCACAUCCUAACCCCUUGAGCCUGUGAAUGUGCUACCUUACUUGACCCAAAGGGAUUUCACCAUUCUUGAGAUGGGGCGAUUAUCCUGGGUUAUCUGUGUGGGCCCAGGGUAAUCACAAGAGUCCCUAUAAGAAGGAGGCACUUGAGUCAGAGAAAAUGUGAGGAUGCAGAGGUCAGAGCAACGCAACUGAGGGAAGAGGCCACAAGCCAAGGAACGUGGACAGCCUCUGGAAGCUGGAAAGGGCAAGGAAACAGAUUCUCCUCUAGAAGCUCUAGAAGGAGUGCAGCCCUGCCCACGCCUUGAUUAAGCCCAGUGAAACCCCUUUUGGACUUCUGACCUCCCAAUGUGUAAAGUAAUAGAUGUGUGUGGCUUUCAGCCACGAAGUUGGUGGUCACCUGUUGGAGCAACAAGAGGAAACUCAUGCAGUAACCAAUCGGCCCCUUCCUUCCCACUGAACCCAGGCACUAUGAUGAAAUCCUUCCCAACAUGCGCUAAUCGACAGGCAUUGGUACGCAAGGAAUUACUGCUAGUCCCUGCAUCAUGAACACCUGCCCUCUAGAGCCAGAACCUGUGGAUACAUCAGAAAGAGCCUCUGCCUUGGGUGGGUCCAGCCCUCACUUACCUGUGGUGCCCAGGGUCCGCCACCCUACACAGGAGGGGCACCGCUUCCCUGACUCUGUAUGAAAAGUGCUCCCUGGCAAACGACACGGAAGGAAGCAGGUAUAGGGCGUGAGGGCGAGCCACCCCAGGAGCGCCUGAACUUGUGAUGCAGCCAGUUAGGUGGAGAUGUUCACUGCGGCUGCGCUGGUGUUGCCCCUUUGUUUCGGGGACAUUCUUCACCGCCGAAGAGACACAUCGCUAAACAGUCAACGCCUUUAUUUUCAAGUCAUGUGGGAAACAGACCUCCCGAUGCCAAAUCCAAGACCUUCCGCUCCCCCCGCCCCAACCCCGACCCCUACCCAGCUAGGGAUCAGGGAUGAAGCCGGGCUCAGACAUGCCUGUUGCAUUCCAACUCGUUGGUGUUCCGGAAAUGUUCGAUGAUGCCUCCCUUUUUUUUUUUUUCCCCCCAGCUCCCCAGUUGCCUUACUACCCUCCUUUUCUCCCAGUGGCUGAUGCUGUCCAGAGCGGGGCCGUCAGUCUGGCUUCCGGGGCAGAGAUAAGUGGUCCCGCCGCGGUUGCUCCUCGUGGCCACACGGCGUCGCUGUCGAGCCAGCCCGGCACGGGGCUGGGGGCUGGCGCGGCGGUGGAGCUCUGAGCCCGGACUUGGGCGGAGCGCCCAUCCCAGGGCCCGAUCGUGGGUCCCCAGGCUCGGGUUCUCCCCGCUCAACCUCUGCGAUUCCACGCGCAGCUGCUGUCCAGGGCCAGCAGCCGUCGCUGUGAAUCCUCAGAAUGCGCCCCCUUUGCCUGGGCGAGGAGCCCCUCACUAGCUUCAGAGAAAGAUGCCUCCAAUUUGGCUGGUCCAAGAAGGCACCAGCGGCCCACGGGCCCCCGACCGACCGGGAGACAUGCUGCCACCUCUCUGUCUGGAAAAGAUGCGCACGCAUGUCUGGGGUGGGGGGGAAAUGGGGACCACCCAGACUCCUGCUGGGGAAAAACAAAUUAGAUGAAAUCUCCUGCCAACCCAGAAAACCUCUCCCAAAAAAUAGGAGGUUAAGAACCGUUUUAUAUGGAAUUCGCAUUCAACCAAAAUGUGCUGCACGUUGCAGGCGGUCCAUCCACUAAGAGACGACCAAAAACUCUCACCCUUUCAUAUAGCCAGGCAGGUAACAAGCCAUCACACACAACUUCACCCAGACCAAGCACAGCUAGUCCUCCAGCCAGAGGAGGAGACAGCACCACUGUCACACACAGUUGGCAAUUUGCCUGGCAAGUGCAGCGGCCACCUGUGUUUGCUGAUUGCCUUUAUGCAGAAGAAAACUACCUUCCUCCUGCCUGCGGGACAGGAGGUGGGUUUGCAACUUGGAGCCAGGCACCAGCUCAAGGUGGGCUCCUGCACACCUACAGAAUGUGGGAGAUGAGGCACUGUGUUCCUGGAGGUUUCCAGGUCCCUGGGGAAAUGCUCCUGGGAUGGUAACCUGGCAAGGGUCUUAUUCAGGUUUUGGAAAGAUUUACAUACAUUUCAAAGAGGCAGAGCUUACAAUUAAAGGGUUUCUAAACCGAAUGCUCUGGGAGCUCCCACUGUGGCUCAGCGGUAAUGAACCCAACUAGUAUCCCAACAAGGGUUGAUCCCUGGACUCGCUCAGUGGGUUAAGGAUCCCGCGUUGCCAGUGCUGUGUUAUAGGUCACGGUUGCAGCUCAGAUCUGGUGUUGCUAUGGUUGUGGCAUAGGCCAGCAGCUACAGCUCCCAUUUGACCCCUAGCCUAGGAGCUUCCACAUGCCGCGGGCGUGGCCAUAAAAAGACAAAAAAAAACUGGGUCUGGCUAGUUCUGUAGGGGUUGGGGGAGCAAGGCUGAGGCUGAAUCUGGGCAGGACCAGGGACCUGAGCUCAUCUGGCUUCCCUGUCGUGAACUCUUGAUGCAUGCAUCCAGCCCCCUGCCCAACAAAACCCUGGCCACUGUCUGGCUUUGCCUUCAAUUGAUAGACUUUAAUAAAGCAUGUCCCUGGUCUGUGCUGGCCGCCUACGGAGAACAUAACGAGUUAAUAGAGGGGACGGGAUCUUGCACUAGACGUUUCCUGCCCUCGGGGCUCUGUGCUGGACAGUGACGUAAUGCUCUGUGAUGUAAUAAAACCUAGCCCUUUCUCUCAGCCCAGUCUAUGGAAAAGAGGCUGAAAAAUUCAAAAGAGACUCUUCUGCGCGAGAACUUCCUCCUCGAGGGUCGCCAGACCAGGAGGAAGAAGGGAGUGAUGUUUACACACAUGGGAAAAGAACCACUCCUCCAAGCCAGGGGAGGGGGACUCAGGAACACCACCUGGAGAACAGAGGGUCACCAGAGGGGACCCUGGCACCUGGGUCCCCCCGCCACACCCCUCAGCGCUGAGCAGCUGACACUCGGACGUCUGCCAUUGCUGCCACCUGAGCAAAACAAAGGACCCAAAACCUGGAACAGUGCCAAGACUGGCAGGACAAAGGACAGAGAGCUGCAGUGGGAGUGACCUGUGUGCCACCAGUGGCAGGGCAAGAGAUCAGAUGCCCAUGGCCAGAGUGGAUGUUCAGGAAGAGAGCUGGGCUAGAGCGAUCCUGAUGGGACCUCACGUGGAGGGGCCGCCUGCGGGCACAAGGCCAUCCCACAGAAAGGGGCUUUGUGGGGAGCAAAGCGCACGGGGUGAGAAGGUAUUUGCAGCAGGUGUGAAAGAUGCCAGUGGCGUUUGUGGAGGGGUCAAACCACCAGGACACUGCGCAUGUGUGGCAGCAUCGCCCCUCAAGGAGCACGCAGGAGCCAGCGGUUACCCGUUGCCUUUCAUCCCUCUUCUCUUCUCGGACCCUGAAGGAGCCUGAAAGCAGCUGCUAGCAGUUGGGGAGCAGAGGAAUCAAAGAAAGCCACCUACCACGACCUCCCACCAGCUGCCACCACCUUCCCCACCCAGAAACCAGAUCAGCUUGAAUAGGAGACACUUAACAUUGGUUGGGAGAUAAGUAUUCUUACCUACGGAGUUCCCAUGUGGCUCAGCAGGUUAAGAACUCGAUGAGGAUACAGAUCGGAGCCCACAGGCUCUGUGCGUUAAGGAUCCGGCAAGCGUGGGUCGCAAAUGUGGCUUGGAUCUGGCGUGGCUGCGGCUGUGGUGUAGGCCAGCAGCUACAGCUCAGACUGGACCCCUAGGCUGGGAACUUCCAGCAGGUGCAGCCCUAAAAAAAAAAAAGAAAAGAAAAAAAG
rnacentral:lncRNA from 1 species